rnacentral:rRNA from 1 species
ACGGGUGAGUAACACGUAAGGAACCUGCCUCAAGGAUUGGGAUAACUCCGAGAAAUCGGAGCUAAUACCGGAUAGUUCAACGGACCGCAUGGUCCGCUGAUGAAAGACGCUCCGGCGUCACCUUGAGAUGGCCUUGCGGUGCAUUAGCUAGUUGGUGGGGUAACGGCCCACCAAGGCGACGAUGCAUAGCCGACCUGAGAGGGUGAUCGGCCACACUGGGACUGAGACACGGCCCAGACUCCUACGGGAGGCAGCAGUAGGGAAUCUUCCACAAUGGACGAAAGUCUGAUGGAGCAACGCCGCGUGAGUGAUGAAGGUUUUCGGAUCGUAAAACUCUGUUGUAAGGGAAGAACACGUACGAGAGGAAAUGCUCGUACCUUGACGGUACCUUACGAGAAAGCCACGGCUAACUACGUGCCAGCAGCCGCGGUAAUACGUAGGUGGCAAGCGUUGUCCGGAAUUAUUGGGCGUAAAGCGCGCGCAGGCGGCCUUUUAAGUCUGAUGUGAAAGCCCCCGGCUCAACCGGGGAGGGCCAUUGGAAACUGGAAGGCUUGAGUACAGAAGAGA